AUCAGAGGAGGAGCUCCCUGCAGGUGUUUCAUUUAUUCUUAUCAGUACUGUUACUGUCUCUAACUGCACUUUACGGUCUUUAGUCUGUGUUAUUUGUACCGACUGUCUCCUGUACCACGGUGCAGCGGAUUAAUCAUAAUCUAUCCUUCUCUCUCUGACUAAUCUUUAGAACCAGUGUUGGGAGAAACGUGUUACAAAAGAAAAAUGCAAUUACCAUAACGCACGUUACAGCAGCAGAAAUAUGAGUCCAUGAGUAAAGUUAUUUCCUGUUAAAGUCUUUUACACACAGGUCUGAAAUACAGCAACACAUGGGAAGUGCUCACGCCAUGCAUCUGUGGACUGAGCCGGACUCGAACCGGCGACCCUCCGGUUCCCAGGCAGACAGAACUUUCCCAAAACAUUCUACAGUUCGAUCUGCAGAUCAUUCGAUUCUCAUCAAGAAUCACACUGAGGAAAACUCACUUCAUGCUGACCGUUGGUUAAAUCUCCAACAGGGUCACUGAUCAGCUCUGCGUUUAAUAAAGUUUUGCUCACACAGACUCAGAGGAGGCGACAGAUUGAACUCACAUUUGCAAUGGAGUCAUCAAAAUCGCUCCAACGCAGACUCGUCCAUGAGUGAAGAACCAUCUGAGCUGAUCCAGGACCUUCCAGGACCUGGUUCCAGGCAGGGAGCCGCACAGCUGCAUGCAAUCACUCUGAUGGGAUCCUGAACUCAUCAAACAGCUGCUGCUUUUAAUGUGUUUAGAGCUGCACGGCCCCCUUUUUACUUCAUUUGGAUCAUCUCUGCUAAUCAAAGCAGUAAAUAGAGGAAACAAACUUUGAGCUCAUUAAUGACAAAAGAUCAUUUUUCCUUUGAAAGCAAAGAUUUUUAUUGUGUCAUUUCUCUUGUUUCCUAAAAUGAAAGGGGUUCAUUUCAAAUGAUAUUUAUCCA